GCGCAGGGGCGCCGGGUUUUCCCGGCUGAGAUGCCGCUAAUGGAGGCGGCAGUACCCUUUAACCUGAUCCGGAUCAUGCCGGCGUAGGAAGCGACAAAU
rnacentral:ncRNA from 1 species